rnacentral:rRNA from 1 species
AACGAACGCUGGCGGCAGGCUUAACACAUGCAAGUCGAACGCCCCGCAAGGGGAGUGGCAGACGGGUGAGUAACACGUGGGGAUCUGCCCAAUGGUACGGAAUAAUUCCGGGAAACUGGGACUAAUACCGUAUGUGCCCGCAAGGGGAAAGAUUUAUCGCCAUUGGAUGAACCCGAGACGGAUUAGCUAGUUGGUGAGGUAAAGGCUCACCAAGGCGACGAUCCGUAGCUGGUCUGAGAGGAUGAUCAGACACACUGGGGCUGAGACACGGACCAAACUCCUACGGGAGGCAGCAAUGGGGAAUAUUGGACAAUGGGCGCAAGCCUGAUCCAGCCAUGCCGCGUGAGUGAUGAAGGCCUUAGGGUUGUAAAGCUCUUUCGCCGGCGAAGAUAAUGACGGUAGUCGGAGAAGAAGCCCCGGCUAACUUCGUGCCAGCCGCCGCAGUAAUAC